GACCAGAGGAUAGAGAGCUCGUCCACAUUUAGAGCCGUUCGUAAGUAUUAUAUCUUCACUGAAUAUGUUUAAAAUUUAAUCAUUUUAGAGUCUAAUAUUUAUUAUUCAAAAUCAAUUUUACAAUAUAUUUAGAGAGUCUGGAAUGUCUCGUAUGGUUACCGGGAUCAUCCGAUAAUUAAUGUCAGGACCGAUGAACGAAUUCUUUAGUUGGCCGUCGGGGG
rnacentral:lncRNA from 1 species